rnacentral:sRNA from 1 species
UAACGAUCGUCUGCAAAUCGGAGGUGU